GUCCACACCGUAAACGAUGAGUGCUAGUUGUCUGCAGGCAUGCCUGUAGGUGACGCAGCUAACGCAUUAAGCACUCCGCCUGGGGAGUACGGCCGCAAGGUUAAAACUCAAAGAAAUUGACGGGGGCCCGCACAAGCGGUGGAGCAUGUGGUUUAAUUCGAAGCAACGCGCAGAACCUUACCUACGCUUGACAUGCCUGGACGACUCCGAGAGAUCGGUUUCUCCCUUCGGGGCCAGUGCACAGGUGCUGCAUGGCU
rnacentral:rRNA from 1 species